UACGGGGGGGGCAAGCGUUGUUCGGAAUUACUGGGCGUAAAGGGCUCGUAGGCGGCCAACUAAGUCGGAUGUGAAAUCCCCAGGCUUAACCUGGGAACUGCAUCCGAUACUGGUUGGCUUGAAUCCGGGAGAGGGAUGCGGAAUUCCAGGUGUAGCGGUGAAAUGCGUAGAUAUCUGGAGGAACACCGGUGGCGAAGGCGGCAUCCUGGACCGGCAUUGACGCUGAGGCACGAAAGCGUGGGGAGCAAACAGG
rnacentral:rRNA from 1 species